GAAGGCCGACACUUAACGACUGGCACCCCUUGUAUGGAAGUUGACUUCCGGUUUCCAUGCCAGCGUGGAAGGAGCUUGGAGGUCAUCAGUCCAUCCACCCAACAAGUAAAAAGCUGAACAAACCGAAAAAUCAACUCUUCUUAGAUCCAUCAGAAAACUGAGGUCACAGAGCACGGUGCUGCCCCCCAGAAUGGAGAGAGAGACAGUCACAUCUGGAACUAUACAAAAUCGACCAGCCAGGGCUAUCUAAACACCUUCCGAUCUUCUCUCGUGAUGAUGGGCCCCGGGAGCCAACCGCAGCUCCUGGUCAACCACGGGAUCAGGAAGGGUAAACAACCCCUACGCUUACCACCAUUCUGUACCCAUACAGCUAUUCUCUCUCUCCCUUUCAGUCCAGUAUUCAAUAAAUUACAUGAGAUCUUUGGCACUUUACAAUGAAAUAGGCUCAUGUUAGAUGAUUUUGCCUGCCUCUAGGCUAAUGUUAAACUUUCUGAGC